ensembl:lncRNA
AGAAGAUUGAGUCCAGAUUUAUUUAGUUCACACUUUAUUGAUUUGAUCAUAUAUACUUUGCUAUUUCUGCAGGGUUUUAGAGGUCCAGUUGGUGCAGAGGGACCAGAAGGAAAGCCUGGUACACAGGUUCCCAUUUCAUACAUUUAAUAUCAAGUUUUUUUUUUAUUAUUAUAUAUCUCAGUCAUAGUGAUUUAUCUUAUACAAAUCUUUGGUUUACCAUUACAGCAAAGUAAGACAUUAAAAUUCUGUUGAAUUAUGUAUCUGUCUUGCAGGGUGUUUCUGGUUCUGUUGGAAGCCCAGGGGAUAAAGGACUUGAUGGCUUCAAGGGCAUGAUUGGAGAAGCAGGACAACAAGGCCCCCCAGGCUCACAGGGCCCAUCUGGGCGACCAGGCCAGGAUGGCAUCCAAGGCCCUCCCGGUGAGAAGGUAAGCCUCUCAAAACUUUGUACUGCUGUCAGAACAUUAAUAAUGUAAAUAAUACACUGUGUUCACAUGUAUCAUUGCUGUGUAUGUUUGUUACCAGGGCUUUACUGGAAAACCAGGCAUUGCAGGUGCUCAAGGGCCUGUAGGCAUGUAUGUAAGUGGCACUAUCCCGCAUAAACCAGUCCAGACUGACAUGAAAAUUCAUGAUCGGCUUG